GUGCUCACUUCAGCAACACAUACACUAUCGUUGGAAUAACACUGAAAGAUUAGCAAGGCCCCUGUGCAAGGAUCACAUGCAGAUUUGUGAAAUGUUUACUAUCUUA
ensembl:snRNA U6 U6 spliceosomal RNA